UGAUGAAUGCUGAGUGUGCCGCCAGC
rnacentral:piRNA from 1 species